rnacentral:rRNA from 1 species
GCUGGCGGCGUGCCUAAUACAUGCAAGUCGAGCGGGAGAAUCAUCCUUCGGGAUGAGGAUCCAGCGGCGAACGGGUGAGUAACACGUGGGCAACCUGCCCGCAAGACCGGGAUAACUCCGGGAAACCGGGGCUAAUACCGGAUAGGCCUUUUCCCCGCAUGGGGAAAAGGGGAAAGGCGGCUUCGGCUGUCACUUGCGGAUGGGCCCGCGGCGCAUUAGCUGGUUGGUGAGGUAACGGCUCACCAAGGCGACGAUGCGUAGCCGACCUGAGAGGGUGAUCGGCCACACUGGGACUGAGACACGGCCCAGACUCCUACGGGAGGCAGCAGUAGGGAAUUUUCCGCAAUGGGCGAAAGCCUGACGGAGCAACGCCGCGUGAGUGAGGACGGCCUUCGGGUUGUAAAACUCUGUUCUUGAGGAAGAAUUCCUUCCAGGCGAACAGCCUGGGAGGUUGACGGUACUCAAGGAGAAAGCCCCGGCUAACUACGUGCCAGCAGCCGCGGUAAUACGUAGGGGGCGAGCGUUAUCCGGAAUUAUUGGGCGUAAAGCGCGCGCAGGCGGCCGAUUAAGUCAGGUGUGAAAGGCUGCGGCUCAACCGCAGAGCGGCACCUGAAACUGGUCGGCUUGAGUGCAGGAGAGGGGAGCGGAAUUCCCGGUGUAGCGGUGGAAUGCGUAGAGAUCGGGAGGAACACCAGUGGCGAAGGCGGCUCUCUGGCCUGUAACUGACGCUGAGGCGCGAAAGCG